GGGCCGGUGUCCUGCAGAGUUUAGCUCCAACUUGCCUUGACACACCUGCCUGGAAGUUUCAGGUAUACUAGUAAGAGCUUGAUUAGCUGGUUCAGGUGUGGAGCUAAACUCUUCAGAACACCGGCCAUCCAGGGCUAGACUAAUCGAUUGUUGGUAUUUAAGAAUCAAUAUUUUUUUGUAAAAAUGAGAAUCGAUUAAAAUCGAGAAAUGGAUUUUUCUUUUUUACCCAGCUCUAUUAACCAUUGACUGUUUUGUGUUUUACAGUGGUGUGAUGGAUGUUGUUGAUACAUGUGUUUUAAUUGUGCAAUACAAAUCAAGUGACACUAUGAAAUGUCCUGCAUAUACACAGACUUUUUAAAAAAUAAAGUAAAAAAAAAAAAAAUCUAUAAAUUGAGUUCUACUUUUGGAAACCAAAGCUGUGGUUCAGUGGUGGUUUUAUUUAUUUGUUUAUUUUCUAAUGUUCCAGAAAGAAGGUUUUCGAAGACAUCAAGCGUCACUUCUGUCCAGAGGACAUCAUCAACAAGGUUGUUUUUGACAUGGAUGAUCCCAGUCCACAGUGUUUCUCCGAUAUGUGUCCCAGUUCCCUUCAGUUCUUCUCCAAAUUUGAGAGCGGGAACCUGCGUAAAGCCAUUCAAGUCCGCAGGUUAGACUCUGCGUUGCAAUACAGUACACGUACACAAGCACACACACGCAAACAUGUACUGCAGACAGCUCGCCAAGUGCCCUUGGGCCUCAUUUGUAGUGCAUUCACAAUCAUACAUUCUCUCUCUCUCUCUCUCUCUCUCUCUCUCUCUCUCCUUCUUAUAUUUCCACUCUUUCAGCAAGCUUGUCUCGUCAAUGCAUGCAUGAUCAAAUCAAAACCGCUGUCUACAGAGCACUUCCGAUGCGCUUAAAUAAAAGAGCCGACGUUAUAUUUUCCCAAAUGAAAUGUGGCGGCGUAACAACAGAUAGGGAUGGAGUGAGAGAUUUUUCUCUGUCAUUUAUGUAACACGCUUCUCAGUCUCUCUCUCUCUCCCUCUCUCUCUCUCUCUCUCUCUCGAUCUCAUUACUUCUCUCCUAUUGUCUCUUACACCCACUUUGUCUGAUUUUCUCCUGUCUCUCUUUUGCACUCUCUCUUAGUCAUGAAUAUGAUUUGAUUCUCA
ensembl:lncRNA